AGAACGAACGCUGGCGGCAUGCCUAAUACAUGCAAGUCGAACGAACUCUUCGGAGUUAGUGGCGCACGGGUGCGUAACGCGUGGGAAUCUGCCCCUUGGUUCGGAAUAACAGUUGGAAACGACUGCUAAUACCGGAUGAUGACGAAAGUCCAAAGAUUUAUCGCCAAGGGAUGAGCCCGCGUAGGAUUAGCUAGUUGGUGAGGUAAAGGCUCACCAAGGCAACGAUCCUUAGCUGGUCUGAGAGGAUGAUCAGCCACACUGGGACUGAGACACGGCCCAGACUCCUACGGGAGCAGCAGUAGGGAUAUUGGACAAGUGGGCGAAAGCCUAGAUCCAGCAAUCGACCGCG
rnacentral:rRNA from 1 species